AUCCAGCUGAUGAGUCCCCAACAGGAUGAAACGUGCGCCCUGGAU
rnacentral:hammerhead_ribozyme from 1 species